GCAAGCUCCUUUCUGUAACUCAGGGGUCAUGAGAGUUUCUGUGUGAUGUGUUCUGCGUGACUCUACUGGGUGUUGUGAGAGAAGGUUAGUCAAGCUCAGAACUCCAAACAUGUGUCUUCACUGGAUGCUGUGAAUUUAGCUCAAGCAAGCUCAGAACUUCACACAUGGAUUUAGUCACCUAUGAUGAUGUGCAGGUGAACUUCACUCAGGAUGAGUGGGCUUUGCUGGAUCCUUCUCAGAAGAGUCUCUACAAAGGUGUGAUGCUAGAGACCCAUAGGAAUCUCACAGCUAUAGGCAUGAAAGAAGUUGUUCUGCAGAGCAACCCUCUGAGUUUUUUCAAUGUGGUAAAGCCUUUGCAUAUGAGAGUCGUAGUCAAAGGCAUCAAAUAAAACAUACUGGAGAGAAACACCAUGACUGUAACCAAUGUGGUAAGGACUUUAGAACAAGGAAUGACCUCCAAAUACAUAAGCGAACACAUACAGGAGAGAAACCCUAUGAAUGUAACCAAUGUGGUAAAGCCUUUGCAAGCAGUAGUGACCUCGAAAAACAUAAACGAACACAUACAGGAGAGAAACCCUAUGAAUGUAACCAAUGUGGUAAAGCCUUUGCAGAAAGCAGUACUCUCCAAAUCCAUAACCGAACACAUACAGGAGAGAAACCCUAUGAAUGUAACCAAUGUGGAAAAGCCUUUGCAAGAAGGUGUGACCUCCAAAAACAUAAACGAACUCAUACAGGAGAGAAACCCUAUGAAUGUAACCACUGUGGUAAAGCCUUUGCACAAAGCAGUUCUCUCCGAAUCCAUAAGCGAACACAUACAGGAGAGAAACCCUAUGAAAGUAAACAAUGUGGUAAAGCCUUUGCACAAAGCAGUCAUCUCCGAAAACAUAACUGAACACAUACAGGAGAGAGACAAUAUGAAUGUAACUAGUAUGGUAAAGCCUUUGCAGGAAGCAGUGGUCUCCAAUGCCAUAAAAGAUCACAUACACGAAAGACACCAUAUGAAUGUAACCAAGGUGGUAAACCCUUUGAAGGAAGCAGUGUUCUUGAAUAUCAUAAUCGAACACACACAGCUGAAAAACCCUAUGAAUUUAACCAAUGUAGUAAAGCCUUUGCAGGAAGGAGUGACCUUUAAAGAGAAAGGACCAUACAGGAGAGAAACUCUAUGUAGGUAUCUGAUGUUAUAAAGCCUUUGCAGCAAGCAUUGAUCUGCAAGUACAUAAAUGAACACAUACCAGAGAAGAACCUUUUAAACGUAACCAAUGUGGUAAAGCUUUUUCGAAAAACGAUAGUCUUUACAUACAUAAAAGUACAUAUAGUUGAGAGAAAUGCUUUGAUUUUAACCAAUGUGGUUAAACUAUUUCAAAAAGCAGUCAUCAACAAUAUCAUGAAAGAACACGUAUAGGAGAGACAUUUUUGAAUGUUAGCAAUGGUGCUUUUACACCUUUUUCACAAAGCAUUGGCCUCUAAAUAUAUAAAGGUACACAUACAGGAGAGAAACCCUAUGAAUAUCAGCAAUGUUUUAAAGCACUUCUACAUCACAAUUAUCUUCAAAUCUGUAAAGAAACAUGAGGUGGACAGAAAUCUUCUGAAUAACACCAAUUAGGGAAAGCAAUUGUACAAAAGAGUCAUCUCCCAACACAAAAGUAUACACACUAGAUAAAAACCCUAUGAAUAUAGGCAAUGUGGUAAACAUUUUAUAAGUCACAGUAGUCUCUAAGUAAAUAAAAGGAGACACAGUUGAGAGAAACCCUAUGAAAGUUAACAAAUCAACAAAGCCUUUUACAUUAAAAUCUUCAAAUACAUAAAAGAAGACAUAGAAGUGAGAAACCCUAUGUCUCCAAGCUGUGUGGUAUUGCUUUCACUUGUCAGUCAUAUUCAAAGACACAAAAGAAAACAAAAUGUAGACAAAAGGCUGAGUGUAUUUAAUAUGGUGAAACUUUUUGAAUAUUUCUAGAGUCUUCACAAUGAAACAUACCAUACUGAAAAGAAAUUUAGGAAUAUAAUAUGGUGAAGCCUUUUUUAGAUUUCCCAAAUCUUCAUCAUUAUGAAAGAGAAACCCCAUGAAUGCAUUCAAUAUGGGGAAGCCUUUAAACAUUUCAAAUUCUUCAUCAUCAUGAAAAUAAUCAUACAAAGGAGAUCAAGGGGAUACAAGGCAUGUUUCUUAUUGUCUUGCUUGAGUUACAGUCCUGACAUCCUUUGCUGAUAAAUAUCAAUGUGGAAAGUGUGAGCUGGAUUAAACCCUUUCCUCCCCAACUGCUUCUUGGUCAUGAUGUUUAUGCAGGCAUAGAAACCCUGACUAAGACAAAUUGGUAUCAGGGGUGGGGUAUUUUUGUGACAACCUCACCAUUAUUUUGGGAGGACGGUAGAAGGACUUUGGAACUUUGGGCUAGAAGAUCCAUUCUUUGUUAAGAACUCUGUGGGAUGUUGUGUAGGAGUUUGAAAGAUAAUGUUGAGAACCGUGCAGAAGAUGGAGGCCUGACCUGUGAAAUUUCAGAGGUAAAAUUAAAGCCUCUUUUUUGGGCCAUUGUUACUUUGUGAAGAUUCUGUGGUUCUGGUUAGCUGGGGCUGAAGAAUCAGCUGUGAUUAACAAGAUACCAGAACUACUAGAGUGAAAACUUUGCAUUACUGGGACUAUUGAUGCUGGUUCGCUGGAGCUAAGAAAUUAGCAGUGAUUAAGAAGAAACCAGCAUCAUUGAAGUGGCAUCAUCUGUGAAGUGUUUUCUGAGAGCACAGAGGAAGAUAAUCAAGGUUCUAGAGAUAAUCAAGGUUGUACCUUGCGCUGUGGCUGGACUUGGUAGUGUGUAAGACUUACCCACGUGGUACUGGUUUUGAAGGCAUGAAGGGAUAAUGCAGAGCAGCUAAGGCCCAGCACUGUGAGAAGCCAUGGAAGGCCACUGGUGAAGGUGCAGACUCAGGUGAAAUUGAUGGCCCAGUAGUGAAGAGAUCAUGCAGUGUUUUGGAGUUGCCAGGUCCAUGAAUGACCACGAAGAACAGCAGCAACAGUAAAGUACAGGCAUCUGGAGCCUAGAGGACGAGCUGUGUGCUAAAAAGGACAGGGUUGGAGAAGUGACUCAAGCCCUUGGAGUUGUCCAAAAGAUCGUGAGUUGGAUCCCAGACAUUGGACAGUUGGAGUUUAAUUUUUACUUUUGAUUUUGACUGUGCCCUGAUAUUUUUCCCUCUUGAAGGAAAAAAGUAUUUUAGUGGAUUCCAUAGUUAAGAGACUUUUAAUUGUAAAAGGCUUUGGAUUUUAAAGGAUAUUGGAUAUUUUAAAAAGGAUUUAACUUUUAAUAUGUAAAGUCUGUGGGGCUUUCAAAGUUAUAUAUAUCUUGGGGAUGAAUAAGACACUAGUGAUGUGUUUGUGUGUCAGGUUGACAAGGUGUAAAUUGUACUGGCUAGUUUUGUGUCAACUUGACACAAACUGAAGUUAUCACAGAGAAAGGAGCUUCAGUUGGGAAAUGCCUCCAUGAGAUCCAGCUUUAAGACAUUUUCUCAAUUUGUGAUGAAGGGGAAAGGCCCCUUGUGGGUGGGACAUCUCUCUGCACUGGUAGUCUUGGGUUCUACAAAAGAGCAGUCUGAGCAAGCCAGGGAAAGCAAGCCAGUAAAGAAACAUCCCGCUGUGGCCUCUGCAUCAGAUCCUGCUUCUUGACCUGCUUGAGUUCCAGUCCCGACUUCCUUGGUGAUGAGCAGUAAGCAGUAGGAAAGUGUAAGCCGAAUAAACCCUUUCCUCCCCAA